AAGGACUCAGAUGCUUUGGGAAC
rnacentral:piRNA from 1 species